UACGUAGGGUGCAAGCGUUCAUCGGAAUUACUGGGCGUAAAGCGUGCGCAGGCGGUUGUGCAAGACCGAUGUGAAAUCCCCGGGCUUAACCUGGGAAUGGCAUUGGUGACUGCACGGCUAGAGUGUGUCAGAGGGGGGUAGAAUUCCACGUGUAGCAGUGAAAUGCGUAGAGAUGUGGAGGAAUACCGAUGGCGAAGGCAGCCCCCUGGGAUAACACUGACGCUCAUGCACGAAAGCGUGGGGAGCAAACAGG
rnacentral:rRNA from 1 species